AUUGAACGCUGGCGGCAGGCCUAACACAUGCAAGUCGAGCGAGCGGCGGAAGGGAGGGUAAGGUAUGGGGCUCUUCCCGGUGGAGGGGGAUAACUACUGGGAACGGUGGCUGAUACCGCCUACUAUCGGAUGAACCCAUUUGGGAUUAGCUAGUAGGUGGGGUAAAGGAUCACCUAGGCGACGAUCUGUAGCUGGUCUGAGAGGAGGAUCAGCCACACUGGAACUGAGACACGGCCCAGACUCCUACGGGAGGCAGCAGUGGGGAAUAUUGCACAAUGGGCGCAAGCCUGAUGCAGCCAUGCCGCGUGUAUGAAGAAGGCCUUAGGGUUGUAAAGUACUUUCAGCGGGGAGGCGUUACCCGCAGAAGAAGCACCGGCUAACUCCGUGCCAGCAGCCGCGGUAAUAC
rnacentral:rRNA from 1 species